UACAGAGGUCCCAAGCGUUGUUCGGAUUCAUUGGGCGUAAAGGGUGCGUAGGCGGCCCGGUAAGUCCGCUGUGAAAGUCGGGGGCUCAACCCUCGAAUGCCGGUGGAUACUGUCGGGCUAGAGUGCGGAAGAGGCGAGUGGAAUUCCUGGUGUAGCGGUGAAAUGCGCAGAUAUCAGGAGGAACACCGAUUGCGAAGGCAGCUCGCUGGGACGUAACUGACGCUGAGGCGCGAAAGCGUGGGGAGCAAACAGG
rnacentral:rRNA from 1 species